GAUGAAGAACGUAGCGAAAUGCGAUAAGUAAUGUGAAUUGCAGAAUUCAGUGAAUCAUCGAGUCUUUGAACGCACAUUGCGCCCCCUGGUAUCCCGGGGGGCAUGCCUGUCCGAGCGUCAUUGCCGCCCUCAAGCACGGCUUGUGUGUUGGGCCCCCGCCCCCCGGCUUCGGGGGGCGGGCCCGAAAGGCAGCGGCGGCACCGCGUCCGGUCCUCGAGCGUAUGGGGCUUCGUCACCCGCUCUGUAGGCCCGGCCGGCGCCCGCCGGCGACCCCAAUCAAUCUUUCCAGGUUGACCUCGGAUCAGGUAGGGAUACCCGCUGAACUUAAGCAUAUCAAUAAGCGGAGGA
rnacentral:misc_RNA from 1 species